rnacentral:misc_RNA from 1 species
GAGCGCGGCCACGAGGCUUUGCUCAGUCACCGCCCCUACAAACUGCCUCAGAUACGGCGCUUCGGCGAUCGAGCGCUGGGCGAUCGUCUGGAUGCCAUCCUGCCUGUCGCCGGAAAACCCGAGGUCCUUCAGGCUUGUCGGCAGGCCAACCGUCUUGAAGAACGUCAUCAUGUCGGCGAGAAAUUCUUGUGAUCUCUGCUCCA